GACGAACGCUGGCGGCGUGCCUAAUACAUGCAAGUAGAACGCACAGUUUAUACCGUAGCUUGCUACACCAUAGACUGUGAGUUGCGAACGGGUGAGUAACGCGUAGGUAACCUGCCUGGUAGCGGGGGAUAACUAUUGGAAACGAUAGCUAAUACCGCAUAAUAUUAAUUAUUGCAUGAUAAUUAAUUGAAAGGUGCAAUUGCACCACUACCAGAUGGACCUGCGUUGUAUUAGCUAGUAGGUGAGGUAACGGCUCACCUAGGCGACGAUACAUAGCCGACCUGAGAGGGUGAUCGGCCACACUGGGACUGAGACACGGCCCAGACUCCUACGGGAGGCAGCAGUAGGGAAUCUUCGGCAAUGGACGAAAGUCUGACCGAGCAACGCCGCGUGAGUGAAGAAGGUUUUCGGAUCGUAAAGCUCUGUUGUAAGAGAAGAACGGGUGUGAGAGUGGAAAGUUCACACUGUGACGGUAGCUUGCCAGAAAGGGACGGCUAACUACGUG
rnacentral:rRNA from 1 species